rnacentral:rRNA from 1 species
AUUGAACGCUGGCGGUAGGCCUAACACAUGCAAGUCGAACGGAGUGGCGGACGGGUGAGGAAUACAUCGGAAUCUACUCUGUCGAGGGGGAUAACGAAGGGAAACUUACGCUAAUACCGCAUACUAUCAGAUGAGCCCAGGUGGGAUUAGCUAGUUGGUGGGGUAAAGGCUAACCAAGGCGACGAUCCGUAACUGGUCUGAGAGGAUGAUCAGUCACACUGGAACUGAGACACGGUCCAGACUCCUACGGGAGGCAGCAGUGGGGAAUAUUGGACAAUGGGCGAAAGCCUGAUCCAGCCAUGCCGCGUGUGUGAAGAAGGUCUUCGGAUUGUAAAGCACUUUAAGUUGGGAGGCGUUACCAACAGAAUAAGCACCGGCUAACUUCGUGCCAGCAGCCGCGGUAAUUC